rnacentral:tRNA from 1 species
UUAGGGAGACCUACACCCCUCAGAUAUCGAAAAGCAUACAGUUAAAUAGAUACUGAGAUGGUCAAACCUAGGUCGGUCGCAGACACUUGGUUGUAUGUAAAGCUUUCAAACUAUGAUUUGGUUCGUAGAGAUAUAGAUAUGGGCUAUUAGCUCAGGUGGUUAGAGCGCACCCCUGAUAAGGGUGAGGUCCCUGGUUCGAGUCCAGGAUGGCCCACCUGAAUCAAUUAAAAAUAUAAAAUUAAAAAUUAAAAAUUCCGGAUGACUUCUUGAAAUUUUUAAUUCUCAAUUUUUAAUUUUUAAUUUAUUGAUGGGGGUUUAGCUCAGUUGGUAGAGCGCCUGCUUUGCAAGCAGGAUGUCAGCGGUUCGAGUCCGCUAACCUCCACCUGUGGCAAAUAAAUGCCAAUACAAAGGGAGUCAAAUUCAGCAACAUGGCCAAUAGCCAGACUGCUGGGUAAUAUUCCAGCCAGAACCUUGAAAACUGCAUAGUAACGCGAAAAAUGUAGGCAGUCAUUAGUGAGCCAGCGCGCAGAACAGGGGGUUUCCUCCAUGAGCGACUGGCGAACCCGUAAGGGUCAUUAGUCAUUGGUCAUUUAUAAAAGCAAAGGACUCUUGACAAAGGACUUUUGACAAAAUACAGACACCAAUUGGUUUGAGUGGUCAAGCUAAUAAGGGGCUAACGGUGGAUACCUAGGCACACAGAGA